CUAAAGUAGAAUUAGUGAUGCGGU
rnacentral:siRNA from 1 species